rnacentral:lncRNA from 1 species
AGUAGUCGCAAAACGGACUUGCAAAAUCUUAAGUCAUAAGAUCUCUAUGUCACUAAGACUAUACCAAAUAUUAACAUUACUAACAUCGCGGCAACUAAUAUAUAUACUUUACUGGUAACAGCCGGCUGUAGUUGUAACUGGGCUUCAUGUACCUUUCCAUGUCGUUUAAGUCCUCCUGCCGAAUUACACUCUCUUCCACAUGCCCGACAGAUAUGAUUAGUAUGGUGUGUUACGCCACCACCAAUGGCCAGGUUGUCACUCAUCUGUCUCGUUUUAUGACUACGAAGAUGACUCAUGAGUCCAGCUUUACUGAGGCAGGGUCUUGCACAGACAUUGCAUGUCAGAAUCAAAGGAAGACCCUUCCCUUCUGGAAGUGCAACAAAUAUAUAUACAUAUAUACACAUAUACGUCAGUAUAUAUAUUGUGUGUGUGCGUGCGUGUGCGCGUAUGUGUGAGGUGAAUGUUUGCAUGUGUCUAUAUAUGCAUGCAUGUACAUAGCUAUGCUAAGUUACUCUUACUCCUGCAGGUAACAGUAUACCCAGCGCAACCUAUUUCAUGGUCACUCCACCAAUCCUGGUUGAUAAGGUCUAUGAUUUUCAUUGGAAUUCAAAUAGCAAAAUACGCAAUACAUGUUAAAUAGGGAAUAAAGUCAAUAUAAUAAUGGUAAGCCACCUGCUGGGAAUGAGAAAUCCAUAGUCUUUAGGGCACGCAAAAUUUUAGUGUAAGAUUACGACAUCGUUUGAAUCCAGUAUUGUAGAAGAGGUCAUGUUUUGAGGCAAAUGCAUACUUUCUUUAGAGAAUGAGAAUAGUUCAGCGGUAAGUACUUAUAUACCUUAGAAAAUUUCAGACACAGACAUCGCUUUGCUUUUAAUAUCACGUUGCAGACUAUCCCUGACCACAGCGAAAAAUCGUAAAUAUAUAAAUAUAUAUAUAUAUAUAUAUAUAUAUAUAUAUAUAUAUAUAUAUAUAUAUAUAUACACACACAUAUAUAAUUAUAUAUAUAUAUAUAUAUAUAUAUAUAUAAGCAUAAGAUCCAAGGAUCGUACAAAAAAUUAAAAACAACUUUCAGGGACAAUAGCGGUUUACUGAAACGUAAGGUUGUGGAUGUUUCAUAUCGAAGUAUCUUAAAUUGAAAGAAGUUUUUUUUAUAGUACUCGGUAGGCGACCAGGUUUGCUGGGUAUGUGAAUGAGAAUACAAGUUAAGGGAAGGUGAAUAUGAGAUCCGGACUACAUCGGUUUCAUAAUGAGCAGAACCUCAGAAGUGUUAAAUAUCCAUUCCUUAAUACUUAUUUAUAUAUUGUAUAUAUAUAUAUAUAUAUAUAUGCAAGCAUAUAUAUCUAUUUCUAUCUAUCUAUAAAUCUAUAUCUGUAUAUAUAUAUAUAUAUAUAUAUAUAUAUAUAUAUAUAUAUAUAUAUAUAUAACAAAGUUGAGUUGUGGGGUAUCGCACGAGUGGAAUUAUAUACGAAAGAAGGUUUGAAAAUGCAAUUUAAAAGAUGUUUAUUUACUUAACCGGUUUCACUCUUUGGAAAAAGAUUGUCAAAAGUAACAUAGAAUAUUAUGAAUUCAAAAAAUUUUUUUACAUAAUUGUCACAUUGACUAUUAUAUAUAUAUAUAUAUAUAUAUAUAUAUAUAUAUAUAUAUAUAUAUAUAUAUAUAUAUAUAUAUAUAUACAUACAUAUAUACUUACAAAAUGUGACCGUGUGUGUACCGUUGGCGAUAUUUUUUCCUCCAUCUUCUCCUAUGUUUCUGACCCCCUUGGGGUGCGACGGUCACCUAGAGCGUGACUAUCCAGCCGGGGCCGACCCGCAAGCAUACGGGUCUGAUUCCUGCUUAUAUAUAUAUAUAUAUAUAUAUAUAUAUAUAUAUAUAUAUAUAUAUAUAUAUAUAUAUAAUAUAAAAUAAAUAUAAGAGAGUGGUCACUAUAUGGCUCACUCUAGCACCAGUUAAUCCAAAAGGUUUCAACCACAAAAAUACAUGUUUCCCAUGAAAGUCAGUACGAUUGUUAGCUCACACGGACAGGGCAAAUAAAAAAUAACAAAAAUACAGAUUAUUUUGGGACAAUUGUUUCGCUAUUAAUGAAUUAAAUGUAAUUUUACUUACAAAAAAAUCCACUUGUAGCUCGUCAGCCAAAACUAUCUGGAUGAAAUCCACUCAAUCACACGCCAGAUUUUACCAUAACGAUAAAUACGCGUGUGGUUCAAUUGAUUACAUCCGACGUUAUAAUUCAAAUGCCCCAACUAACAGCGCGCCAAACUCUCACGGAAAACAAAUACUGCAUUUAGAAAUAAAUGCAGCAUAAUUAUAAUUAAUUAAUAAGGGUGAGAGAAUUAGAUACUAAUUUAAUAGUAUAUCUAUUCAACACCAAGUGGCCUAGUGCUCCGAGAAACCUGGAUUAUUAUACUAUUUUAUAAUAUAUUAUAAUAUUUUUACAAAAUAAAUAUAAGAGAGUGGUCACUAUAUGGCUCACUCUAGCACCAGUUAAUCCAAAAGGUUUCAACCACAAAAAUACAUGUUUCCCAUGAAAGUCAGUACGAUUGUUAGCUCACACGGACAGGGCAAAUAAAAAAUAACAAAAAUACAGAUUAUUUUGGGACAAUUGUUUCGCUAUUAAUGAAUUAAAUGAAUUAAAUGAAUUAAAUUUGAAUUAUAACGUCGGAUGUAAUUAUAAUUAUAAUUUGAAUUAUAAUUUGAAUUAUAACGUCGGAUGUAAUCAAUUGAACCACACGCGUAUUUAUCGUUAUGGUAAAAUCUGGCGUGUGAUUGAGUGGAUUUCAUCCAGAUAGUUUUGGCUGACGAGCUACAAGUGGAUUUUUUUGUAAGUAAAAUUACAUUUAAUUCAUUAAUAGCGAAACAAUUGUCCCAAAAUAAUCUGUAUUUUUGUUAUUUUUUAUUUGCCCUGUCCGUGUGAGCUAACAAUCGUACUGACUUUCAUGGGAAACAUGUAUUUUUGUGGUUGAAACCUUUUGGAUUAACUGGUGCUAGAGUGAGCCAUAUAGUGACCACUCUCUUAUAUUUAUUUUGUAAAAAUAUUAUAAUAUAUUAUAAAAUAUUAUAAUAAUCCAGGUUUCUCGGAGCACUAGGCCACUUGGUGUUGAAUAGAUAUACUAUUAAAUUAGUAUCUAAUUCUCUCACCCUUAUUAAUUAAUUAUAUAUAUAUAUAUAUAUACGUAUAUAUAUUUAGGUAUUUAAUAUACGUAUAUAUACAUAUCUAUAUCUAUCUAUCUAUCUAUCUACCUAUAUAUAUAUAUAUAUAUAUAUACAUAUCUCUAUCUAUAUAUCUAUCUAUCUAUCUAUCUAUCUAUCUAUCUAUCUAUCUAUCUAUCUAUCUCUACCCCUCUCUCUCUCUCUCUCUCUCUCUCUAUAUAUAUAUAUAUAAAGUUAAUCCAAACAAGAAAACAAAAACAAAAAAAACAACAACGCAAGGACGUGGAACAAAUAAAGUAUUAUUGGACGCUCAGGAAAGAAGGGAAGAAGGAGGGUUUGACGUUUCGAGUGGAGCUCUUCGUCGGAAACAUAGGAGAGGGAAAGAUCCCGAGAAGGGAAGACAGGGGGAAAAAAUCGAUCGCUAGUGGUACAGACGAGUUCGGCGCAAUGGUUAGCGCAGCGGACUCGCGGUCGUAGGAUCGUGGUUUCGAUUCCCAGACCGGUCAUUGUGAGUGUUUAUUGAGAGAAAACACCUAAAAAAGCUCCACGAGGCUCCGGCAAGGGGUGGUGAUCCCUGCUGUACCCUUUCACCACUCUUUCUUCUGUUGGCCUGCUCACUUAGCUAGCGGGGUGGCGCCAUUCGAAGGCUAAAACAAUGCAAACGCAUUGUGACCAGCGAUGUGUAACUACAUCUGAUGGACUGAUCGGUCACGUGAUCACGUGAUAUAUAUAUAUAUAUGUUAUACUCAUGUAUUUAUGCGUGUGCCUUGGUUUGAAAAUUAAUAUUUGGUGUAACAAGAAAAAAAGAAAGAAAAUGAUCCUAAACGUAAAAAUAAUAACUUUCUCCAACUGUACAACUGUAUCAAUUACAAAAGCACUAAUAGCUUUAAUAAAUGCUUUAAUGUUAAUAACUCUCUUGCCAUAUACUUGUAAUCAAUGGGGACAUUACUACUACUUGCUCUCUUAAAUAAUCUUUACAAAAUUAAUCAACCACAAUAAAAUGUAACACAUCAUACCCUAUGUCGAAUAGUAAUUGAUUAAACGAUGAAAAUUGAAUGUUCACCAAUAUUUCAAAACAAAAUUUUCAUUUACUUGCAUACCAUAUGGACACACCGAGUCAGGCAUACACAUAUACAAACAUUGAUAUACAAAACAUAUAGAUAUAUUCACACGCAAUGUGGUGAGAAAAUUUAUGAAUGGAUGUUCUUUGUAAAUUCUCGAACUUUUUUUAUGUAUCCAGUAUCUCUUAAUUUGAUUUUAUAGUGGCAUACUUUCAUUUCUGAUUUUUAUGACAUACAGUCACUCCAUCCGCAUUGAUAUAAGUACAACUCUUUCUGUCUGUUUGUUUGUCUGUCUGUCUCUCUCUUUCUCUCUCUCACUAUAUGUAUAUAUAUAUAUAUAUAUAUAUAUAUAUAUAUAUAUACAUACAUACAUACACACACUUUUAUGCAAUAGUGCAUUAGGUUUUACUGCAUUUAGUAAUUUGUAUUUUAAUUUUUAACCAGGGCCAUUCACGGUUGAAACUUUAAAAUUUUCGAUUUUUUUCCUAAUGAACGACUGUACUGCGAUUUUAUUGGAAUCAGCUAUCGCUUUAAUGUGCUAUGGUAGAGUCGUAAACUAGUUUUCACUAUUAGAACAGCAAUAAAGAAAUUUACUUAUUGAAGUAGUUGCUUACUUUUUACUCUGAUUUUUACUUCAUUACUGUAUUAGGCCGUCUCCUCAUUUUUCCAAAAAAUUACACCAGCAAACUCUAGACUUUGCCAAAAUAUAUCAAUACAAAAUAAAUACAUAAGCAGCCUCGCAUAUGCGGAACUCAGACACCGGAUAAAUACAAACUGAUUGACCGACGGACUGACUGACCCCUACUACUAUUGUCGCCGCUAUUACUAAGACUAUCACAUCCUGUAUUAUAAUUGAUCCUAACUUUGGUAUUAAAUCAGUAAGUUGGUAAUAGGUGUUAGGCGAUAUAAGAUUGCAGUACUUGACCGGUACUUUAUCUUUCUAUCCUUAAAUGUAAUCGAGUUACUCACUCGCUCGGAAUUGCUGGUCUUGUGCCAAAAUUUGAAAUCAAACGUUUAGUUGCAAAUUUGAACUCUGUAGUAUUUCAACUCUGUAUGUUUACCCAAUUCAACGAUUAUCGAUUUAGUAUUAAGCUGAAAAGUGUGCAUAACUCACCACAGUCUCCAGAGUAAUAGAACCUAUACAUUUAUUCAAUUCACAAUGCUAAUGCGUUUACGGCCCCGUAAGCUAACGGUUCGACAAAUGACCGAUAGAAUAAGUACUAGGCUUACAAAGAAUAAGUCCUCUGGUCGAUGUGCCCGACUAAAUGAGGUGCUCCAGCAUGGCCUCAGUCAAAUGACUGAAACAAGUAAUAGAGUAAAACAGUAAAAGAAUAUGUCCCUUUCUAUUCUACAUCACUUAACACAAUCUGAUUCUCUCACUCCCAUUCUCCAUCUCAACCUCCCUUUCAGUUUCUAUCUUCUUUUUUAUUUUCACAUGACCUUACGGUAUGUGUCUUUCCCCGCUCACAUUCAGCCUUUUCUACAUCUUGGCUAUUUCGUCUAAGAAAUCUAUAGACAUCUACACAUACAUUGCCGGAUAAUAUAUUUACAUAUAUUCCUACAAUAUGAGUUAAUUUUAUUUUUUUUCUAAAUUUAUUCCUUCUUCUACUCCUUCAAAAUGUCUUAUAAUAAAUUUUAUUCAUCUAAAUAAUUAGUUUUAAUCUCUAAUUGUUUACCAUCAUCUUUCUGAGGUUCUUCAUUGUUAUCCUUGCCCUUAUAUCUGUAAUUAAGUCAAAUCAGCCAAAUAUCAGGUUUUUAGUAAUUGGUCUUGCUCUUUGUUAAUGCAUUAUUAUAUUCCUUCAAAUUUGUUAGGACUUUUUCCUCUCCUUUCUUUUAAGUAUUGUAAUAUAUUUAUAUUUAAAUGAUUUCGUAGAUUCGUUUCAUUAUCUUAAAUGUAUUUAAAUGUCAUAGCAUUUACUUUCAAUCCAUCUCAUAUAUAUAUAUAUAUAUAUAUAUAUAUAUAUAUAUAUACAAGUAUACAUAAUAUAUAUAUAUAUAUAUAUAUACAAAUAUACAAGUAUAUAUAUAUAUAUAUAUAUAUAUAUAUAUACAUAUACAAGUAUAUAUAUGUAUAUAUAUAUAUAUAUAUACAAAUAUACAAGUAUAUAUAUGUAUAUAUAUAUAUAUAUAUAUAUAUACAAAUAUACAAGUAUAUAUAUAUAUAUAUAUAUAUAUAUAUAUAUAUAUAUAAGUGAAUUGAAGAAAUGGAGUUGAACGAAGAUUGAUAUCGUUAAACUUUUGAUUAAUAUUAUUCAUAUUUCUAUUUCAUAUAUAUAUAUAUAUAUAUAUAUAUAUAUAUAUACAAAUAUACAAUAUAUAUAUAUAUAUAUAUAUAUAUAUAUAUAUAUAUAUAUACGCAAUCACACAGCCAUACACUCACAGAUUACAUUAGGUGUGUGUGUGUGAGAGAGAGAGAGAGAGAGAGAGAGAGAGAGUGUUCAUUGAUUUAUUCUUCUCGCUUUAUUUCAAAUACAGUCAACGCACAUUUACAUUCGCUUUUCUCUUCUUGUAUCACAUGUGUGACGUAACACGCUGCUUGUCUAUGUAUUUAUCUAUCUCUUUCUAUAUAACGAGGGAAAAUAAGUAUAAGUAAGAUAAAGUGGGCUGAUGCAUACCAAGCAGUACUUUGAUCAUAAUCAUUCCAUCUAUGGCCAUCGCAACUUUUAUGAUGGUAGACAUAGCUACAUGAUGCAAAAUCUCCUUCCUGAUUUCUAUAAAAUUGUAGCGUUUGAUAUGAAGGUAGUGCUGUUUUUCGAUAUGUAUUGAGAACUGAGACACCUUCGUCGAACUUAUGUGUAUGAAUGUGUGCGGGAAAGAGAGGUCCACACAGCAAGGCAGAGAAUCAGACAGAGAAAGAAAGAGAGUUGUAUGAACUGUUAAGAAUAUAGACUAUAUCGAAAUAAUCAGCGUGUCUAGAAUGAAUCUCAGAAGCUGACUUCACAGACUUGCAUUAGCUUGAUGUACAUAAAUGCAUCAGGAAAUAAUUUGAUACUCGAUGUACACUUAGAAGAAAGUAUAUUAAAACUUCUACAAUAUUGAAUGCGUUUCGAAUUCAUAUUUUGAUUGUACCACGAUGUUAAUGUCUUAGCGCUUUAUCGAAAACUCAAAAGUGAAAUCGGUUUACAAGUACCAAAAGAAUGGAAUACAUACAUACAUAUAUAUAUAUAUAUAUAUAUAUAUAUAUAUAUAUAUAUAUAUAUAUAUAUAAAUAAAUGAAUGUAUGUAUAUGUAUAUAAAUAUGUGUUUAUAUAUAUAUAUAUAUAUAUAUAUAUACAUAUCUAUAUGUUAACAUGUAUUAAUAUCCCAUUAAACAGACACGUACACAUAUAUACACAUGAGCCUGAGUGUAUGCAUAAGUGUGUGCAUAUCUGUGUGUGAGCAUAUUCGUAUGCAUUUAAAUAUCCACAUAGAUAAAAACUUAGGAAAGUAGAUAUAUAUGCAAGUUACCAUCAAUGGUUUGGGAGAUCUAAUCAAAAUGCAAGCUAGAAUGUCUAUGGAUGCAAUUUUCGAUUAAAAUCGGACAAAAGUGAGUCUUUAAUCUGAUCGGGUCUUAGACAUUUAGUGUAUAUAUAUGUUUACUUUUUCUGUAGCGUAAAGCAAAGAUCAAAUAUAAUCAACUAGAACUCGUAAUUAAUGCUUGUGAAUUUAACAAACCUUUGAUGUAAUCGAACAUGUAUAGAAAUAAAAUUACUAGUCGUAAUUUUAUGUCAUAUUGAUAGAUUUAUGGACUCACAUCUUACAGUAUUACAUCUAGAUAACGUUUUAUUAAAUCUAAAUUGCUGAAUUAGAUGGUGAAUUUUAUAUUUAUUUAGAUGUGUUAAUUCAUAUACGCAGCAGUAAUACACGUACAUGUAGAUAGAUUUAAAUAUUACCGUUAUUAGAGCAACGUGGUUUCUUUCUUUGAAGCAUUUUUAGUAAUGUCAGGUAGAACACAAAUCACACUUCUGAUAUAUCAAGAAAUGAGAUUCUUCGUGGUUGCAUGGACUGGUACAAAUGAUGAUAAACAAAGCUACAUCAAAUUUCACUGUGCCUGAUUAUCACCUCCGGGAUACUAUCAUCCUCAAGAUCAUCAUCUUCACCAUCAUCGUCGUCGUCGUCGUCAUGAACAUUAUACAGUGUAACAUAAACACCAAGAGUCUUUGAGACAACGAAAUAAUAAGACGCUGCCCUAAUAUUCAGAGUAGCCACUUUUUAGUCAAAAAAUAACUCAACUACAGCUGAGAGGAUUAGAGCAACGUAAAUCAACGUGCCAACCUUCAAGAGACCACGUACCUCGCGAUUCUGGAACACAUCUCAGACAUUACAUAAAUCAUGAUCUAAAGACUUUUCGAGCAUAUUUAAUUCCAUUAUAUAUGCGUGAAAGAAAGUGAAAUAACCAUGGCCCGAACAGUUUUAAUCAGUCUCCUCAAUCUGAGCUGAUAUUCAAGAAAAAAAUACGUUAACAAUAAAUCUACAUUUUGCGAUUUUAUGUAUUUUAUAAAAGCUAAAUAUUAAGUCAAAAAUAUAGAAUCGCGCUGUUUUAGUCAGUCUCAUUAGAGUGCUAGCUAAGGCCACAUACAUAUAAGUAGAUUAUAUCAGUCAAGCAAAACAAAUGGUUUACAAAACGUCUAAACGCACUGUAUAUUAUACAAACAAUAUAGAACGUGCUGGCAGAAUUGUUUUCCACGCCGAAGCAAUUGCUUCGCGGCAUUUGUUCAGGCUCAUUAUAUUCUGGAUGCCAGUGUUUUGUUGACCUUCAUCAUUUCGGUGUCGAAGAAAUAAGUACCAGUCAAACACCCUCUCCUCGAAUCAAGACAUUGUCUUAUAGUCUGAUGAAUGUGCCAAAGUUAUUCUCAUUGGAUUGUGAAUGCCAUACCAGAGCCGCAUAGAAAAGCAACACAUUUUUAAGAUAAGCAUAUACGGUGAGUUUGCAAAGAUUGUUCUACUAGGCUGAAACACAGAUCUUGGAACAUAAGCUCAAGAAAACAACGACCCAGGUUCAAAUCCCGCUGCAGACAUGAUGUCGGGAAGCAACAGAAGGACACUUAGGAGUCACGGCCUGGGUUGGCCCGACUUUCAUAAGGUGACAGGUAUAAGGGCCGAAGCAGUUUUCAGUUGGGAGUUCUUUCUCUGAAGAUCUCUUUUUGACUGCGCUCCCCUUGCGGCGAGCUUCUCUUUUAACUAUUAUUUAUUAUAUAUUAUAUGUGUAUAUGUAUAUAUAUAUAUAUAUAUAUAUAUAUAUAUGGGGGGAUGCAUGUGUGUGUUUGUUUGUGUGUAUGUGCGUGCGUGUGCGUGUGCGUGUGUAUAUGCAUAUACAUUACGACUAGUCCGAUUUAAAGGGAUUAAAUGCCUUGCAUAUUUAUUUUGAACUGCCAGAAAAAAUGGAAGACAAAACGGAGCUGUUAUUUUACUUUCUACCCUCCUGUAGUCACGGUAUAAAUAUAUUUCUCCACUGACUUUAUAGUAUCACUCGACUCUUUCUGUUUUAAAAUUAACUGCGUUUUUAUUUAGUUUGGAAAUCGCAUUCAAAGUCUAUAUAUACGCAUGAUCAGAAGAGAUGGGUGCUUCAAAAUAUUAGACGUCAGUGGAAUUAAUGAAGUGUGUGUUGAACCUUUCUACCCUAUAUUCCCUGUGGGUUCCUUGUAUCUAUCAGGUUAAGAUAUAAACGAAAUUGCUCAUCACUCGAAGAAAAAUAAUAACCAUCAAAAUGUAUUAAAUUUCGGACUAAGAAAAUCCAACGGACAUAUUCGCAAGUUUUGGUCUUGUAAUAAUUACAUGAAAUGUAUUUCCCGCAAAUAACAUUUGUAUUUAUCGUCUCGAACAUAUUUACGUAUGUAUUUCCUGUAGAUAUCUUAUUUUUUUACUUAGAUUAUAUAUGAUGGUGUUUUACACAAAGCAUUUCUACUUGGUAUAAUAUUCGCAAUAACUACAACAACGAAAAAAAAAGCAUGAACAACGAGAAAAACAACAAAAGCAAUACUACUACUACUACUACUACUACUACUACUACUACUACUACUACUACUACUACUACUACAACUAAUAAUAAUAAUAAUAAUAAUAAUAAUAAUAAUAGUAAUAAUAAUAGUAAUAAUAAUAAUAAUAAUAGUAAUAAUAAUAAUAAUAAUAAUAAUAAUAAUAAUAAUAAUAAUAAUAAUACCGAAAAAGAUUAUAGAUACUUGAUAUUGCGGGGGAUAAGAUUGAAUAGAAAAGGUAAUAUAAGAUAAUGUUGCAGAUUGUUACUUUAAAUCAAUAGCAAUUUAAAAUAUAUACAUUCUCAAAGGACACAUAAUUAAACACCAACGAUGCAAAUAUUAGUUCGUUUCAAUUUAGUUUAUCUUUCAUUCGCAUAAAAGACGCAGUUUCCUUCUAUUUUUGUUUAUUUUUCUUUCUUUUUGUUUUUUUUUUCUUUUUACUGCUAGAUGAUAUACUCUUAACCUCCGCUGCUUCGUACUGCCAACUUGCACAGGAAGUAAUUUCAUUGCAAUUUCUCUUCAAAACUCUUUACCAUAGAUACCAUAUGAUAAAUGCUACGGCUAUUAAAACAGCAGAAAAAUAGAUAUUGUGCGUUAAGUGAUUUUAAUUUAAAGAAACGUUUGAUGCUUUAAAUAUAUCAGCUUUCGUCGUGACUUAUAUUACUAACUAAUGGCUGACUGGAGAUGGUACUGAAAUUAUUUAGCCGAAACGUCUGUGUUUUCGUUCUGUUAUACAUUCUUUGUCAGAAUACUUUUGUUUAAUUUUCUAUUAUGGUAUUGUAACACCGUUGAACUUUCCUUAAUUUAUACCCAUGAAGGACGAGUUCUGACUUUAUAAGAGCCCCUAAUGUCAACCGUAAUCAAUUAUUAAUUCCAUAUUUGAAACAGGUCAACGACUUGGAAAGUUAUUAACUCAGUGCAGAUAAAGUAAAGGAUCAUUAAUUAACUUCAUAACUUUAACAAAUGAUCGCUUUGCUGUUAUCCGUUUAGUAACGAUCGGUAACAGCAUUUUUUUUCUCCUAUUGUACGUACUAAAUUGCUGCUUCACACCAAACUUCUACUAACUUUUACAUAAAUGAGCUCAUUAGAUUUAUUUCACCUAAACUGAAAAUUAUUGAUAUUACUUGCCGAAACUUAAAUAACAAUAGAGUUGUUACAAGCAUUAAAUGUACAAUUCUAUCUCUUUAUGGCUAGAAUAAAGUGAAAUCCAAAGUCUACUAAUGCAUUUCUGACUUCAGAUAAAAUUCACCUCUUCAAAACCGAAUUAACGCUGUUCAAUUCGAAUAUUCUAUUCAGAUUCUAUUGAUGUAUAGCAUGGAAGACUAAUAGUAAUGUCAGUCGUCUAUGUAACACUAGGUAAGAAAAUUAGAUGUAUUACAAGCCUAGAAACAAUGAAAUUGGAUACUAAUUAAAUAUUCGGCGAAUGCUUUCAUUUUCCCAGGACAAGUUAUCAGAUUAAAGACUUUAACAAUACGAACAAGCUAUUUUGAUGGUUUCGAUGUCGCUCCUGUGAAGUGAUAAUAUUCCCAGCACAACAAUAUAUUUAAGAGAAUGACACAGUCUCCUUAUAAAAACAUACUACUUUUACUGUCAUAUUUAUCUAUUGGAAAUAUGGCUAGAGUUGACAGCAAAGUGUAAGAACAUAUAUAUGUGUGUGUGGAUAGGUAUGAAUGUAUGUGUGUCUGUAUGUGUGUAUGUACGUAUGCAUGCUUGUAUAGACGUGCGCGGAUGUGUUGUGUGCGUACAUGUGUAUAGAAAGUAUGAGACACUACAUAUAUUUGUAACUAUGGAAGUGAAUAUGUUCCAAUCAAAUGUGAAUCAGCCAAUGAACAUCUCAUCAGUAAAUUGGUCUUUAGCAUACUUGGUGUAAUAUGCACGACACUUCACACUGAUUAAAGCGAAAGAUUUUAUCACGAGACUGAGAUGAGGGUAUAUGAUUGUAAGACAUCACUUCUGUUACUGGUAGUUGUAUAUGUAACAGAUAUUGUUUGAAAUUUCUCAGCUUGAAUACUCGUAAAAAUAUUUAUUUUUAAUAACUUUCUGAGUCGAUUUUAAAUUACUAACUCUGACUAAAAUGAGAAAAAUUUGAGAUGUUAUUUAAUUAGUAGACUAUAGAUAGGCGUAGGAGUGGCUGUGUGGUAAGUAGCUUGCUUACCAACCACAUGGUUGCGGGUUCAGUCCCACUGCGUGGCACCUUGGGCAAGUGUCUUCUGCUAGAGCCCCGGGCCGACCAAUGCCUUGUGAGUGGAUUUGGUAGACGGAAACUGAAAGAAGAAUGUCGUAUAUAUGUAUAUAUAUGUAUGUGUAUAUAUGUGUGUGUGUAUAUGUUUGUGUGUCUCUGUUUGUUCCCCUAGCAUUGCUUGACAACCGAUGCUGGUGUGUUUUGCGGUUCGGCAAAAGAGACCGAUAGAAUAAGUACUGGGCUUACAAAGAAUAAGUCCUGGGGUCGAUUUGCUCGACUAAAGGCGAUGCUCCAGCAUGGCCACAGUCAAAUGACUGAAACAAGUAAAAGAGUAAAAGAGUAAAGAGAUAAAACAAUCGACUGAAUUUGGUGUGUAGCUCUAUGUUCACAACUCUUGAAAACUUUCAGUAAUACUGGGCCCCAUGUGUGAAAUAUACUUUUAGUUUUAUUUCAUUGCCUGAGAAUCACUUGAGAGACCCAGAAAAUCUAAAAAAAAAAAAAUUACCCAAGGAUUCCUGCAGAGUGAGAAUUAAAAUCGAAAUGGAACGUAGCAUACCUAAUGUGAUAAACGAAGAAAUAUUAAUUAUUUCAUGAAAAUAACAUGAUUAGUGACGAGAGCACAUUAUUACCAAACUACCAAACUCCCAUCAAGGAAUAGAGGGGAGACAAACCCAAGAUGUUUAUUAAUUAGAAUUAAUCAACAACAGUAUUCAGUAGCAAAUGUAUCAGCUCUUUAGCAGUGCAAUGACAACUGUGGAAAUAAAUCGGUCAUAUUAAACCUGAUCAGUGAAUCAUGGGCUAACGGCUAAUUCAAUAAUUUAGAACGACUAAAGAUAAAUAGAUUUUCCGUUAAAGGAGACUGAGUCGCAUAAUACAUUAAAUAGAUUAUCAUAACUGGAUAGUGAGUAAUCCAGUAGUAAUAGUAUUCAUAAGUGUGCGAUUUCUACUCUCUGUCAGUGCUAUUGCUGACUACGGCAAAACUAUUUUUAAGUGUUUAAAAUUAACAUCGGAAAUUUACCUAUCUAUAUAGUAAUCACUGACAGAAACAUGCAUGUUUUUAUUCAAAUUUUAAUUUUGUAAAUUUGUGUAUUUUUGAUAUAUACUUCAUUCAAAUAUGUAUAUAGUUAAACGGCUAAAUAAUAUAACGUAAUCUAUGCGGAAAUUUGUUAACGUAAAUGUUCGUAUAUGACUCUAAUCGUCGAAAUCGUAAUGUUUUCCAUAUAUAUAUAUAUAUGUAUAUAUAUAUAUAUAUAUAUAUAUAUAUAUAUAUAUAUAUAUAUAUAUAUAUAUAUAUAUAUAUAUAUAUAUAUAUAUAUAUAUAUAUAUAUAUAUAUAUAUAUAUAUAUAUAUAUAUAUAUAUAUAUAUAUAUAUAUAUAUAUAUAUAUAUAUAUAUAUAUAUGUUUGUGUGUGUUAGCUCGAGUGUAUGCGUGUAUGUAUUUAUGAAUAUAUCUGAAUAUAAGUGUAUACACUCCCACACACACACGCACACACACUCACAUAUACACACAUAGAAAUAUUUAUAAUCCGUUCCACAUGCUAUCACAGGAGCAUUCAUGUACACAUCUACGCACCCAGUAUGUGUGUGUGUGUCUGUCUGUUUGCCUUUGUGUGUGUAUGCACAUUAUAGUUUAUUUUAUGGAGUAUGGCUUCGACAGCAUGGGAAUAAAUCCUGUUUAAUUCGUGUUUUAUUGCUAACGUUUGCUUUAAGUUCACAUCCAACCAUAAAUAUCCUUACAGUAUUGCUCACAUUUUCUUACUUGCUAUUGAUGUCAUUCACUAUUACCAUGAUAUAUUUCGUUUUUAAAUGUAAAAUAAAAUAAGUCAAAUAAAAUCAUCCGUACACACACGUGCAUGUGUUUAGCGAUACUAUCGUACGUAAAUAUCGCAAUACAUAUAUGUGUGUCCCUGUGAACAUAUGCUAAAGUAUAUAGUUAUUUAGAUACGAUAGGUUAGGAGAAUGAGGAAAGGUGAUGUAUAGAAUGUGGAACAAGUUGUGAACUGUUUUAUGAAACAGCGAACAUUUCAUAUUUAAAACUCAGUGUGACAUAUGUAUGAAGACAGUUAGUUAAUUUUACUAACAUGUUAUUGCACAUAUUUAAAUAUUUGGAGAGUUAUGGCAGAUACUCUACAGGGGAUGGUGUUAUUUAGACACGGUUUAUUUAUUGCUCAUUUGACAGUAUAAUGUUGUGUAAACAUGCAUAUUAUGCAGAUGUACACGCUCACACACAACCAUGAAAAUGCUUGUGUACGUGUUUGAGUGUCUGAGACGAGUCAGAUAGGGUAUAAGCAGGAUAUGACAAGCCACUUACACCGAAAGAAUUGCUCUUCAGGUCCAAAUAUUUUCACACCAUUGAUACGAUAACCGUGUGACACUAAAUUGGGGCUACCUUGCCGCUUAUGACACUCUUAAUGAGCCCUUUGGCUAACUGUGUGGACUGAUCCAAGAAAAGGUGAAGAGCUUUCUAUAAGAACCCAACGGGGCAUCUGGACUGGGAAUGAACUGAUAAUCUUUGAUUUAAUGGCUAAUCAGUAAGCCCUGAGACUUCACGUGUUCUAAGAUUUAGACAAAAGCAAUAUAUAAAAAAAGAUAGAAUUAUGAGAAGUUUACAAAUAAUUUAGAAGCAAUAAUGUGGUAAAUAAUAUGCAUAUAUUUAAGGGAAGACAUUUCGUAAUAGCAUUUCUAACCAUUCCAGUACACGGAGCGGCUUUCUUCAACGUGUUCUUUGGGGGGAAAAAAACCUCAAUUUUUCGCGGAAGUAUUAUUAGUACAUCAGGGCGAAAUCAAAAAGAAGUAUAACCGAUGCUGAGAGAGUGCGGUGAAAGAGAUGUCCACCAACUGCACACCACAUACAAACAAGUGGAGCGUAACGAAUUUGCAAAUGAAAAUACACGGACAAAUUGUUUUUGUCAGACUAGAGGACACCGUCCUCUCCAGAUUGAACAGCAGACUCGCAGGUUUUGACCUCCGCUUCCUUGAAUUACUACAUCUAAAUUAAUUAUGAUUUGGACUGGCAGAAGGGACGCAACUCUUAGUUUUCUUUCUUUUCACUUCCCAGUUAUAUUCUUUUUCUUUUAUUUGUAUCAGUCAUUUGGCUUCGGCUAUGCCAUGCUAGAGCACCGGAUUUAGUCGAACAAAUCGACCCGGACUUAUCAUAUGUGUGUGUGUGUGUGUAUAUAAUUUAUUUUAUCUAGUUUCAGUUCAUGAGCUGUAGCCAUUCUGGGCGCCAUAUAUAUAUAUAUAUAUAUAUAUAUAUAUAUAUAUAUAUAUAUAUUAUGCGAAAGGCUUUUUGUGUUUUCUUCACCAAAUACAAUUAUUUGGUCGACCAGAAGCUAUAGAGCAAGACACUUGCACAUGUGGUUGGUAAGCAAGCUACUUACCACAUAGCCUUUUGUUUUCUAGUCUUACUAUUUUGCAGCAAGCCACAUAUUUCUUUGGCGAGAUGAAUGAAAUAGUUUGACAAAAUGAUUUCUAAAUUUUAUCAACAUGAUGUUGCUUCUUGUCAGAAGUUUCCACAAUUACUCCGAGUUAAAAGAGAUAGCCUACCUCUCAUUCAUUCAUGAGAAAAAAGAACCAUUGAAAAGCGAUCGCUAAAAUUCAAAACGUUUAAAUGACCUAUGUCCAUUAGGAAAAAAAAUGCUAUGCUAUAUAAUAUUCACAUAUGUGCAUAACUGUAUACAUGUGUGUAUAUAUGUGUGUGGGGCUGUGGUAUGAUGUGCGUAUGCGUGCGUGUAUUUUUUACAGUAUACGUGUGACAGUUUGAAACCCUGCCGUCACGUGUGUCUGUAUUUAAAAAGGCCUUUCAUAGCGCAGUGAAACUGAAGUUCGUCUCGUUACCUCGAAUUAAUUCGAACGAAUCUACAUGUAGUGUAUUUUUUUUUCAGCCGAUUACAAGUCAUCGUUAAUUACCAUCACAAUAUCCAUCCAUUAUUUUAUGGCCCAUUCAAAUAUGGAACUGACAGUCCUAAUAUAAUCAUUGCUAAUCUAUCAGUUCAAUAAAUUCAUACACAUGGACAAACACACGCACACAUACAUACAAACACAAACACACAGACACACAGACACAAACACACACGAGAGAGAGAGAGAGAGGUAUAGAGAGAAGGAAGGAAUAGUGCACCAAACAUAUGUAUUGGAACAUUACAUUUCUUUAUGAACUUAUACCGCAUUUCGCCAUUUCUUUAGUGACAUAGGAGUUAGGAUCUGUGAAAAUUUGUCUAAUACAUAAUGAAACUUAAGUUGAUAAUUCUUGACUGUUACUAACUUUUGACAAAUGUUAUACUGGUUAAUGCAGAUGUCGAUGCAUUAUAACUAACAAUUAGAUUGACGUUCAUGGUUGGACUGCUUUGCUACACACAUACGCGACCAGAGAAGUACUGAGUUGGGAUUGAAUUACAAGUAAUGCUAUUGACCAUGUAAUGAAUUUUCUUCCCUGCCUGGAUGAAAAGAAAGAAAUGCUUCAUGGUAUUUGUGUCUUUUCAGAGGAUUACAAUGCAAAGCAAUUAAGCAUCAAUUUCAUUGUUCCGGGUGACAUUCAAACGAGACCUUUACCUGGGUGAACACGAUAAUCCUAAAGAUUAGUAUGGUUAUUAGAAUGUUUGCAAGAAAUCGUUUGAUAUGAAGCUUAGUAUAGUUUGGAAAUCACCAGCUUCGAGUGUUACAUAUAUCCAUCGAUUAAUUAAUUUAUAAAAUUAAUUAACUAAAUUGUAAGAGGAAAUGUAUGUGAUCUUUGUAGACCUCAACGAACUGUUGCAAUUGAUGUAACUUGUGGUGAGUUUGAAGAAUUGCAGUUCGACGCCGUAAAUAUGGCGAGUAUAUCUAGGAUUUCAAUGAGUCAACAGAAUCAAUUGAAGAAACUAUUUUGGAUAGAAAAUAAAACUAGCAGUCAAGCUGAAGUAAGGAGGGAAAACAGUCAUUUUGUAUGGGUCCAAGUAAUUAUCAAGCAUUUAUCAAGCAGUUUGGCGUUGGUGACGCUUUUAUUGAAACGGCUGAGAAGGAAAGUAAAUGAAACAGCGUGGCUGUGAAAUUUCCUGUAAUUGAAUUUAUACUAAGUAGCACGAUGGGCUUCAUUAUAGUGUAGUAGUGCUAGAGUGAAUAUUCAUAUGGGUCUGACGUAUAUAUGGAAAAGGAUGUUCGAAAGAUUAUACGUACUUCUAGCAUUGAUACGAAGUGAAAGAUUCUAUGUUUGGGGCAAUAAUGUAUUGAGUUGCGUAAAAGGAAGAAAACAGGUUAUUUUCGAGGGAAAUAAAUAACAAACUUUUAAUAACGUAUUUUUUGUAUUUUUCAUCCUUCCAAAGACGAUUAAUUGAAGUAACAAAAACAUACAAGGAUGCUAAUGCCUGAUCGUAUUACAUCCAUAUUGCAAACCUUAUUAUUGUUAUUAAUAUUAUUGUUAUCAUCAUCAUCAUCAUCAUCAUCAUCAUCUUCAUCAUCAUCAUCAUUCCGUAAUCUUAUUUUUAUCACGUGCUUUCACUGCACUACCAAGCGCAAACUUUCUUUUCAUUAACUGUUUUUUGGGUGGUUUCUGGUGGCAAGGCUUUGCCCUUAUGCUGCAAUUGAAAAUCCUUCAGUGUCUGCUUUUAGUCCUGAGCUUCUCAGAUUUUGCUUUAUCUAUUCCUUUUUUCUAUUUAGUUGAACCCAAUAUUUGCCAUGAAUGGGCUUUUCUUGUCAUCAUUUUAUCAUGACCCAUUGCUGUUCCAGUUUUAGUUUGGGUGUCAGUUGUUUUACAGUUUUUGCUGCUUCUUCUUUUUUUAUACUUGUUAGGUGCUAUGACUUCUUUCUUUUUUAUUUAUCAGCUUCCUAAAAAAUUGAAAACAUUUUUUUUUUUUGUUUUGUUCAUGUUUUGGGGCUAUUUGUACUAGUUUUCGUUGCUUAUGAAGUAAGUAUUUCUGUAGUCCUAUGGUGGUUAUUUUGUAAUGGUUUUCUAGCUGUAUAAGGCGCCUACCACCUUCCAUGUGUUGUAUAUAUAGCCUUUCUAUGUCAGAUUUUGGGGACUGCAACCUAAAUCCUGUCAUUAUUAUUCUUGUUUUCCUGUCUAUUUUGAUUAGUUCAUUUCGAGUCCUCUUAAGAAUUUUGAGCUGUAAUUUAUAACUGGGAGAGCUGAAGUGUUGAUACCUAUUAUCUUGUUUUUCGCAUUCAGCUCUGUUUUCAGUAUUAAUCUAACACUUCUAUAGUAUUUCUUUUGUAUCUUCUCUUUCAUUUGUGUGUGUUGUAUCGUACCUAUGUCAUUGAUUCCUAAAUAUUUGCAUAUCUGGUUUUGGUCUAAUUCUCUUAUUUCAUUUGCUUUGUAUAGUGUGAUGUUGUUACUCUUAAUUAGGUUUCCUCAUUUCCAGGUUGCUUUGACACAUUUUUGUAAGACGAAUUUCGCAAUUAUUUCUUUGGUAAAUCCAAAUACUUUCUGAACUAAUAUUUCCAGCUAUUUGUCCUUUGUAGUGUACAAUUUUAGAUUACACAUAUGGAAGGGGUGGCUGUUUGUUUUAUCGAAACACUUGUAUCCAAAUUCAGUUCUGAUAAAGAUGUUUGUCUGGUAAUGUAGCACACUCUGCCAUUUAUUCAUGGAAUGUUUUAUAUACAUUAUGCUUAUAUAUUAUGCUUCCGCGAGCCAUUCAGGCAUUGCCUCUGGCUCUGCUAGAAUUUCAUUAAAUUUCUCAGCCAGCAUUUUAUGUGUACCUGUUAGAUAUUUUAACCAGAAGUUGGGGAUUUUCUCGUGCCCGGGUGCUUUGCAGUUGCUUAGAUUUUGCAGUACCUGAGUGACCUCUCUAGUUGUUAAAAGGGUCCAGAGUUAUUCAGGUGCUGAGUCCGUUCGUUUGGUAGAUAUUUUCUGAGGCUGUUCCUUCGCCGACAAAAUUUUGUUCCAAAAUACUUCUGCUGUUGGUGCUACAUCGGUCUCUAUUUUAUUUUUGCCAUGUUCUUGGUAGAGUCUUUGGGGACUGAAGUUGAACUAUUUGUUUUGUUCAAAGAAACGUUGCCGUUUCUGAUGACGAAGGGUUCUUUGUGCUUUGGUGAUGAUAUCUUGCUUUAGCUGUUCUUUUACCUCGGGUUACCUUGUUUUGCAAUUUUGUAUUUACGCAGUAUUUUUCAUCUCUUCUUGUUGUUUAAUAGUGUUGAUUGUCUACUAGUUUCAUUAAAUAUUGACAGAUCCUUUCUCUCAUUUUUUCUGGAUACUAUAUAUUCACUGGGUUUGUUUGGGUGGUGAUACUCCUGUUUGGAUGUGUUUUUAGCGGUAUCGAGCUACUUUUGUGGUCACAGAAGCUGCUGCAUAUAUAUAUAUAUAUCUCACCACCGUGACCAUAGUGACCGACCAGGCUAUCAGAUGUUGCUACACACCGCUGGUCACAAUGCGCUUCGCAUUAUUGUUUUGGCCUUCAAAUGACGCCACCUCGCUGGCUAAGCGAGUAGGCCAACAAAAGAAAGAGUGUGAGAAAGUUGUGGCGAAAGAGUACAGCAGGGAUCGCCACCACCCCCUGCCGGGGCCUCGUGGAGCUUUAGGUGUUUUCACUCAAUAAGCACUCACAACGCCCGGUCUGGGAAUCGAAACCACGAUUCUAAAACCGCGAGUCCUAACCACUCGGCCAUUGCGCCUCCACACAUAUAUAUAUAUAUAUGUCAUUUAGCUUAGUCAUAUUGACAUUUGUUCUGUGACUAUUAGUUAUCUAAUGGCCAGGUUCACGCUAUUUCUUAUUGAUGCUGUUUUAUUAUCAAUCUUAUUUUGGGGGGAGGUACAAUCGGUGGUCUAUACUGAAACCUAUGGAUUAUGCUCAUUGUUAAAGUAUCAUAAUCAUUAGAUUCACCUUCACAGUUUCCAAGCUUUAGAUUUGUUUCGUAGUCAUAUUUUUGUCUGUGGUGUUCUGGUUCGGUGCAUUUUGCUCAUCAUUAUACAUUCCUACCAUUUGGAUUCGUUGUUUUUCCGUAUUUACUUCAUUUUUGUUGGGCAUAUUACGUCCGUCUUUUUUAUUUUAUAGUCACAGGUCUUAUAAUAUUAUUUUGCAUUGCUGUAUUGAUACUAUCUACGUUUUCCUGGUGUAUUUUUUCCUUUUAAGUGUUCUAUUUCUACUUCUAAUAUAUUUUUGUUUUCAGAAUAUAUCUGCCUAUGUUAGCUAGUUUAUUAGGGUUCAUUGCUGUAUCCAGAUCUUUAUCUAGAUUAUGUUUCUACCACAUUUUAUAUGUAUAUAUUUCGUUUUCGUUCUGAAGGUAGACCACUGCUGUAAAAUAAGUGCGUUGGAUUUAAAUAUAUUCCUUACAUGUCCAUUUAUGCUUUUUCUAUUUCAUUUGCGAUACAUAGCGCAUAACGUUCGGUCCCUUAUUUUGAUUGUCAUCACUGUCGAAGGUUACCGGAGGUUCAUUUCUGCUGUUAAAUGGUUUUGCAUGUGUAGCUUUUCGUACUUUUUUGUAAUAAGUUUGAAGUACGUACUUCCCGUUUGUUAUCCUUGGUUUGAAUUAUACGGGUAUUAUUUUUCAUUUUUUGUGUAUGGUGGUUUGCGACGGAGAUGGUCUGAUGUUGAUUGGAUCGUAAUGUGGCAAACGUGUUUACACGUGUUGUGCGAGUGACGGAGACGAUACACAGUUAAAAGGUAUCAUUUCAUUUGGAAAAUAGAAAUAAAUUUUAAUCAGUAUUACUCGGAUAUAGUCCAAAAUUAUUUAAAUAUUUCUUACUCGGGUAUAGUUUAACACAGUUUGUGCGAGUGAUGGAGAUGAUACGCAGUUAAAAUACUUGAUUUCAUUGGAAAAGAAAUACAUUUUAAUGAGUAUUACGCGGAUAUAGUUCAAAAUUUUGUCACUUAUUUGUUGGCUUUAUUCCCGAUGUUUUGGGAUAGAUUUCGGAGCAAUGUUUUAUCGCUGUUACAUCCUAAACGCCCCCGGUGUUCUGUUUCUGUUAAACGUCACCAGUGUAUUAUUAUUAUUAUUAUUAUUAUUAUUAUUAUUAUUAGCAUUAACAUCAUCAUCAUCAUCAUCAUCAUCAUCAUCAUCAUCAUCAUUAUUGUUAUUAUUAAAAAUUUGGUAGUUUCAGACGAAUUUCUACUGGACCACUUGCAAUAUCUCUUUGUUGCUGGGGUGUGUUGAGUAUGGUGUGUUCUCUUGUCUUGUUGCGGGAGUGAAAACUCUUCCCCGUAUUGUAUUGCAUCAGUUGGUUUUAUUAUGAGGCCUGCUUGUAGUCUUUUUAUUGUAGUAGUGUUUGCAUUGUGUACUGCAUUAUUAUUACACUAUUGCAUGCUAAUUUAGUUAACAUGCACUCAAUUUUGAUGAUUGAUGGUAGCAUGGCAAUUUUCAAAGAGUCGAUAAUGCGAGUUUCAAUUCCAGUCAAUUCCAAUCUUUUAGGUAGAAUUUUGUGCGUUGCGCCAAGUGCACUAAUUACUAGAGAACUAAUUGUUUUUUUUUUUUGUUUUCCAGUCUCAUCAGCUCACCGAAUAUAUCCUAAUUUUUCUCAACUUUAUUCCAUUUUGUGGUAUCGCCUCUUUAAAAUGUGUUAGCUUACACUAUCAUUUAUCCUCUAUAAUCAUUAUUGGUCUUCUUGCUUCAAUAGUAUGUUCAGCCUUUAUGGGAAAAGAUCCAAAGUAUCCUGUAAUUCUCAUUCUCUUAAAACAAAAGCCUCUGGUUCGUGUUCAUAUUCCGGUUGUUUGGAAGCCCCACACUCGGGUAACAUUCCAAUGCCCUCUUUUAUCUAUACAGUCAUGCUCGUGAUUAUAUAUAUAUAUAUAUAUAUUAUAUUAAAUUAGAGAUAAAACCACUAUUAGGCAAAUCAUACAAUGAAAAACUUAAGCCAAUACAUAAGAUUCAUUAAUUUAUAUUAUUUUAAAUAUAUAUCAAAAUUAUUAAAAAAAGAUAAUUAGUAUAACACAUUGUAUGAUUUGCCUAAUAGUGGUUUUAUCUCUAAUUUAAUAUAAUAUAUUUUACUAUAAAAUUGGAUUCAAUCCUAAAUCUGAUUUUUCCCUGUAAGUGUGGAUUUAUUCCAUAAUAUUUUAUUAUAUAUAUAUAUAUAUUGUACUAACUACAGUAUUCACACAGGAGAUGAUUGAUACGUUCGAAUCCUCUCAAAGUGGUCUUUUUCUUUUACCAUUUCCGAGUCGGUAAAACACGGUACCAGUCCAGUACAUGGUAGAUGUUAUCGGCUAACUUUUCCCUUGAAAACUGUUGGCCUUGUGCCGAAAUUUAGAACAACUAAUAUUAAUCUUUCUGUUGUUGUUGCUUUUGUUUCUUACUGUAAUUGUAUGCAUUGAACUUUCGUAUUUACUGUUAUAUCGUUCUUAAUUCAUUAUUCAUUGCUUUAAUUAUUAUUUUAUUUCCUGCAUUAGAUAACCAUUUGAACUGACCGCCGUACGGGAAUGAAUUAUCGCCUAUACAUCGCUAUGACGUUAAUGAAAGACAUCCGUAUUUUGAUGUCGGCUUUCCAUCUUUUGAUGGGGGGUAAGUAUAACAAACUACUAUUCAUUAUUCACGUAUUAAUAGAAACACAAACACUCAAAUGCAGCACUUUAAAUAAUAAUAAUUUUAUUCUGAAACAUUUUAGUUUCUUUCAUUUUCUUCAUUUGACUCAAUAUUGAUUUUCAUUCUCUGUUCUUAAUUUCCUUUUUCCUUAAUGUUUUCUAGGACGAGAAUACGUGCUAUUAGCUGUAAGAUUGAUAUAAUCGGGAUUAGUAAAUGAAAUAACCUUUUGCAAUUUUUUUGUGCGUUAAUAUGUCUGAAGUCUUUCAUGUGAGGCCAUUUACUAUCAUCGACUAUCUACAUCUAAGGAAGACGUAGAAUUUCAAAUAUAAUCAAUGCAUUUCUUUAUAUGAUUUUGGAAUUUAAUGGUUCAUUCACUAAACAAACUUCUGCAUACAAACAUAUGCAUAAACGUGUGGCUGUAAUAGAUUGAAGUAUUACACAGUUCUUUGGAAAAGUGUAGUGCUCCGCAGAACCGGAUAUCGCAACAUGAACUCAAUAACCUAUCAAAUCCGUUUUAUUUUACUUAUACAAAUAAGGACAUUUGUGAAGAAAUUAGCAUUAUAAAACCCAUUACUUCCUCCUGUAAAUCAUGAAAUAUCAAGCUAGAGACAUUUUGUUUCCAGUCUUCCAACUUUAUGCAUGUAAAAUUUAGAACUGCUCUAAGAAACACAUUUAUGUCAUAAGGUUUUACCACCUUGUUCCCUGGAAAUAAUAUAUUGAUUAUUUCAUUCCGUGAUUUACAAGAUAACAGCAUUUUUCUAUUGAUUGAAUAGAACUGAAAGCACGCUCAGAAAUUGCAAUUGGACUGCACUUUAUGUCAUACCUGUAUUGUAGUUAAAACACAUAAUGGCUUUCGCUGUAUCGUCCGCACCGAAUUCUGGUCAUUUUAGAAGAAUGCAGCUGCUGGCAUAUAAUGCUAUGCGUUGGUUGGCAACAAAGAAUCGUGUAUCUAGUGCAUCCCAUUUCGACAAUGCUGUUUCCAUAUAGUGCGUAACAUAUGUUGUAUUCUCAUAUGAAUGUAUGUAUUUAUAUAUGUAUAUAUAUAUACAUUUACUUUGGUUACACUAUUCAAAUAUAUAACAUUUAAUAUUUGGUGUCCGUAGUAUAUUAAGCCUUCAAAAGAGUGAAUUGCUUCUAUUAAGGUUUGGACUGUCAAAUAUACUACAAGAUUUUAUUACAUAUACUACAGGAAAAUAAAUAAUAGCAGUAUGUAAUUGGGAAUCGUAUUUUAGUGUGCAAAUGACGUAUGGCAAUAAAGAUCACAAUGUUAUCUACGGACGGAACUAAAUAGUUAGGUAUAUAUUCUGACUUUUUGCGGUUUAUGCGACUCGAUUAUGCGAUACUAAAUUUUAAUAUUAUAUUUUGACAUUGGCACAAAGCAAACAAUAAAAAAUACAAAGUUUGUACUUAUGUAUUUGACGGGAGUGGGAGUAGAUGCAGGUUAAUAUCCAUCUCUCAAGGGCAUUACUGCCCAGUGGAAAACGAGUGAGUAUGUGUGUGUGUAUAAAUAUAUAUACAUAUGUAUGUGUGUGUGUAUGUAUGUGUGUGUGUAUUUAUGCAUGUUAUACGUGUACGUGCGCAUACAUGCAUACAAGCAUGUACGCAUAUAUAUAUAUUUGUAUGUACGUAUGUAUGUAUGUGGGCAUUUGCGUAUAUAAGUGUGUAGACGUGUCUGCGUGAGUGUAUAUGUAUAUGUACAUUUAUAUAUGUAUACGUGUAUGUACAUGUAUAUAUAUAUAUAUACCCACACACACGCACACGCACAUACAAGUUGGUUGAAAACGUUCAUCAUUUCAAAUGUAAAGGUCUGAGUAACUAGAUAGUCUUGGCAAAUGAAACUAAAGAGGUUUAAUGAUGAGUAAAUUAAGAUUUAUUCAGCAAAAUUUGUAUGGGAACUUCAAAGAUAUGUGGAUUUCAUGAACCAUUUCAAAAGUUUUCACAUUUUCAGUCUGUGAUCCGCCCACGACACAGCACGUUUCAAGUCACUAGUCUAGCUGCUUACAAACAUGUUGCAAAUCUUGGGUAGCAGUCUCCAGUGCAGCAGUGAUCCUGUAAUUGUGUUUCCCUAAGCUUUUAGUAAGAGUAUGAAGAGAGUUCAACUUCUUCAUAUCGCCCUUAGAAAGAAAAAGUUCGAAAGGUGUAACGUUAGGUGAGCGUGGUGUCCAUUUCAGCAAUACACUGUCGUUAUCAUCAGCACAUCCUCACUUACUCCCUGGCAAAUUUUCAUUGAGAUAAAUUUACACAAUGAAAUGAAGCGCCGUUCUGUUUUAAAAGUAAGUAAUCAUGUUCCCUUGCAAUGGGCUUAUCAAUAAACCAGUUCUGAAACAUAUGCAGAUAAAUAUCGCCUGACCUUCCCCGCAAAGAAAAGAUGAUUCUUGAAUAUUGCGCAAACACCUUCACCUUUGAUGAGGCCCUCUUGCGCUCAACUGUGGCGUCGUGAUUUUCUUCAACCUAAAUGCGAAUAUUAUGGUUGGUGACUUUGCUAUUCCUCUGAAUUGUGGCCACACCAGUGGAAAGAAUGCACUGUUCACACUUGUCUUUUUCAGGUUUCUCUUGCGUAUCGACUCGGAAUUAUUUGCGCUUUUGUUUGUCAUUUGCCUUUAAGGCCUGAACGAGCUGCAACUUAUAGUAUGUCAAUCGCACGUGUUUCCUUUGCUACACGCCAACCAAAUUGUCAUUGCAGGAACCUGGCUUUCAAGACUUGCUACUUUCAAGGACCUCACGGGGCUUGAAAAAAAUAUUUCCACUUGACCAUCGGUUCCGAGAUGUUCGUCGUCUAGAAACCCUUUAACCUAUUCAAAGAGCUUUCCUGCUGCAGCGCUUUAAGCAAAUCUGCACUACAUUUCGUGCAUUUUUAGCUAAAUACUUUCAGAAAGUCUUACUGCAAAGUCUUGAUUUAGUGUGUUCGAGUAUAGUCUAAAAUAUAAAGCAACUUUUCUUUUCCUGUGAAUGGCAUUUCUAUACAUGAAAGUAAAAACAUUAUUAAACAUAAAAUGUUCAUUGCUUUCUGCACAAGCUGUUAAAAUUCGAGAUCAUUUGAACAAGAAGUGACCAAAUUAUUCGAUUACAAAACGAUAUGUAUUAUUCUACAACACAAUGCAUAUCUGUGUGUUUGUAUCCAUGUGUGUGCGUGCCUGUGUGUAUGUAUAUAUAUAAUUCAUCAUCAUGAAAUUAUAUUUAUAUAUAUAUGCAUCAUGCAUGUAUGUAUGAUCUCAUAAUAAUAGAUUUAGGUGCAGUAAGAUUAAUAACUACAUUUUUACGUUGAUAGAUGAGAAAAUUACCCGAUUGUAUCGGCAGCAUAUGUGCAGUGUUGUUUAUUAAUCGCGGCUUAACAGAAAAUAAUACCGAUCGAACCUUAUAUUAUUUAUAUCAUUUUCCGGAACAUUCUCUGUUGCAUUGUCUGGAUUACAAACCUGAAAUUAUAACAUCGAUCGACAUAUCUAUAAAUAACAUAUUCCCAUGCAUGUAUCAAGAUGCAAGUAAAAUGAUAGAAUAUAUAUUAUAUUCCAUUACCCACGCAUUUUUCUUCUGACCACAUAUAUUUGUCUUUAGCUGGUUGGCUGGCUGGCUGGCUGGCUGGUUGGAUGGAUGAAUGGAUGGAUAGAUGGAUGGAGGUUGGUUUGCAGUCGGCCUGGCUGGCUGGCUCGUUGUGUAUCAUAUAGGAUUGCAGGAAGAUCCCUCUCGAGUAGACAUAAUGCAACACUUUAUUUAUAUUUAAUCAAUGAGAGAAACUCGUAACAAAGUGAAACGGUUCCAUCGUUUGCUAUGUCCUUUUCAGCGCAUUUUACAUAAAUUCCGGUGUAUCUCAACGUUCAGAUAUCUUCCUGGUAAAUAUUAGUUUUGCACAUCAAUAAACCUGCUGCUCGUAGUAAUAAGCAAAUACAUUUCUAAUGCAGGUGCCAUAUUUUUACAUUUUCAUUCUUUCUCUCUUCCGCAUAGAGGCGUCAUUCACAUAUUGGACAACUCAUGAUAUAAUCACUCUUCCGUUGUAAACAAGGAAAUCAACCACCGCUCUCUUUUGAAAUUCUAGACUAAUUCAAAACUAAGUAGUAUGCAUUAUAUCGACCGGAAGCCAUUUACUGUAAAUCUGAUGUCGUACGUAACCUUGUACAGGACAUAUUUAUCUGACAGCCAACAGAUUCUUACAUGGCACGGUUAGUUCUCUGCUUAUUGAACUAAAAUCUGACCCAUGUCAUUCAUAUACUUUCACAUUUUAUUCUGAUUUCAAUGUCUUUAUACCAUCAAUUUUCUAUAUGCAAAUUUUAUAUACACAAAUACUCACAAUCUUCGUUGCUUUGGCCAAAUAUAUUUCAUUAGGGUGACUUUUACCCUCCGAGGAUAAUGACUUAGAUGCAGGCAUGGCAGGAGUUUAAGGAGGUUGCUUGGCAACAACGUAGUUUUGAAUUCUGUUCCACUGCGUAGGACCUUGCAUAGGUGUUUUUCUUGCAGACUUGGGUUGGCCUAUGCAUUGUGAGUCAAUUUGGUUGCCGGAAACCGCGUAGAAACCUAACAUGCAUACAUGUAUGUAUGUACGUACGUAUGUAUGCAUGUAUGUAUGUACGUAUGUAUGCAUGUAUGUAUGUAUGUAUGUAUGUACGUAUGUAUGUAUGUUUGCAUGCACGUAUGCAUGUAUGCGUGUAUAUAUUUAUGUAUGGAAAUGUCUUUCUCCUCACCUGCUGCCUGAUAAACAUGCUUCGUCAAUAUACAUGCCAUUAACUUCGCGGUGUGGGAAAAAAGGAAACGACAGAAUAAGUUCCAGACUUCAGAAAGAAGAAAUAAAUGCAGGGUUGGAUUUCAUCAAAUGAAAACCAUUUAAGGCAGAGUUCCAACAACGAUAAAAUGAAAGAAUCAAAUGCCAGAAUUCAAGUCAUGGUUCUACAAUCGCGCUUGUUAGUCUCCCAGUUGUGAGAGGGAAAGAACUAUCUGAUAACUAUGACCCAGUUUCCUCUGAAUAAUGUUCCGCAUCACAUAUAGACAAUUAUAUGCAUGUACAUGUAGUGAAAUGCUGACGCAAGAAAGAUGAGGAUAAGAGCGAUGGACAUUUUCAGACACUAACACCAUAUUUCAUUAUCUUCAAGCACAGUUAUAUUCUAAGCAUAUUCUGAUUACUGAACUACUAAUACAAUUUCUCAUUGUAUGGAUACAAUUAUAGUGAAUGUUGGUAAAAAAUGGUUAUUACUAUUUAAAUGAUCUGGACUUGGAAAUAGAAAAACACACCUAUCAUCUUUUAUCUUGUACAUGUUUCAGUCAUUGGAAAACAUGUAUAAGAUAAAGGAUUGAUUUCAUAGGACACCGAUUUGAAGAGGUUUUAUUCGAAUCAAUCAACCUUUGCACUUAUUUGCACUUAUUCUAUCGUUCUUUCUUGACUAACCGCUUACUUAAGAAUAGAUGAACAAACCAACAACGAUUUCCAUGCUGUAGGACGAAAGACACAAAUGCAAACACGCGCCCGCGUACAUAUCCACACACACAUACACAAACACUCACACACACACUUGUGUGUCUAUCUAAUAUAUAUGAUGGUGGAAUCUCCCGUCGAAAAGGACACAUGAGCGUUCAGCAGUUGCUGAACGACCUGCACAAAUGUUUUUUUUAUAGUGAUCAAAUGUAUGCGUUUUACAUUAGCUCACUUCUUAAGUAAAAUCCACGUGGCCCGAACCGUGCACGAGUAACCACCCGGUGGGCUCUCUCUACCAAAUCCACUAGCAAAUAUGACGUCUGUCCGAGGCUAGAGUAGUAGAACUUACUUCAACAAGGUGCCAUGUAGCGCGGCUGAACCCGAAACUGUGUGACUGGGAAGCGAAGUCCUUAUCAUGCAACUAUACCUGAAUCGGAGGUAUGAAUGUGCAAACGUCUCUCAGAAAUAAUAUAUGCCAUAUUUCUUCGAUUUUACAGAUCAACUAGAAAUCAUCGGAAAUUAUAUGCUAGUUACAACAAUUACAUUUGUUAAAGGUAAAAUUGGUGCAUGAUAUAUAUAUAUAUAUAUAUAUAUAUAUAUAUAGUGCGGUAAGACGCUUGCUUGCUUCCCAACCGCAUUGUUCCGGGUUGAGUCCCACUGUUUCUAAACUUUGGCAAAUGCCUUCUAUGCCGCGACCAAAGCAUUGCGAGUAAAUUUGCUAGAGCGAAAUUGAAGAAGACUGUCGUAUACAUACAUAGAUACAUACAUAUAUGAAUACACACACACACACACAUAUAUGUAUAUAUAUAUAUAUAUAUAUAUAUAUAUAUAUAUAUAUAUAUAUAUAUAUAUACACAUACACGCUCGCGCCACCAUCACAUGGUGGUGUCUUUACCUCCGCGUAACUUAGUGAUUCGGGAGGAGAAGAGACCGAUAGAAUUAGUACCAGGUUUUAAGAAAUGUGUACGACUCUAUCCGUCAAAAGCUUUUCAUAUGCUGCAUGGCCGUUGUUUAGUGAAUGAAACAAGAUAAUAUAUAAACAUAUAAAACGAAAGGUAUAUAAAUAUAUAAAUAUAUAAAUCUGAGAAUAUAAGGAAUGGAACAGGUAAAACAUGGAAUUUUAUCGUUUCUUAGCAAAGCUAUAUGUUACAUAAUUUGUAAAACAUAUAACACCAGCUUAGCUGAUUUUCAGCUCCUAUUGUUUACAUUGGUCCUUGCGAUGAAUAAUUUAUUCAUAUCCAUGCGACAAUGUAAAAACGCCGACGGGUAAUAAGACCUGAAAUUUAGCUAAGAUAGUUCUGUGCAUGUUACAAGCUAUAUGAUAUGCAUUGAUUUGUGAUGAAACGAACGUAUUCCAGUGUUGUGCCUAUUCUAUUCGUUAUAUUCUCGUUUAUUUUUUAAACGCACUUUUAGCAACUUUAGUUACUAAACCGUGGGCUGUAUGGUGACUGUCACCGAUAUCAAAAUUUCUCGACGGUGAAUAACUCUGAGGCCAGCAAAGUCUAAAUCUUAGUACCCUGUAUCUGUGGUUGUAUAUUAGCUGCAAAUAUUCUCGAAGCUUAAUAACUUCCUACACUCGGUUCCCUGAAGCGUUCUUACCUAUAUAUAUAUAUGUAUAUAUACAUAUAUAUAUUAUCCGAAAUGUACAGUUUUAUAUACCCAUUAUGGCUGGUCUUAUCAAUCAGUUUCGCGCUAGGGAUACAAUGAAGUGUUAAGUUCAGUCCGAUUAUACAACCUUACUCUCGUCAGAGUUAGCCGAUAUGGAAAGGAAUGUGUGACUGCUCUAUAUAAAUAUAUCAAUUGACACACCCUCUCUGCAACUUACAUUUAGUGUCUUUGUGAGACAAGUAAUGAUGAUGGCAUAGUAGAAAUUAGGAAAUAUUGCCUUUUAGACUACAAAUAUUUAAUAUUUAAUUUUGCCUGUUUUAUCUAAGCAGUCACACAUUCCUUCCAUGCUAUGAAGUAUUACCUUUCAAUAAAAGAAUGCGUGAGGACUACAAUUCUGUUAGUAAUUUUGCACAUUAUUUCUAGUACCUGGCUUUUUAUAACUAUGGAACCAAAAAGCUAAACGUUUGCAUAUGUGAAAUAAUGUUAUUAGUAGUAUAAUUAUAAUCCCAAUAUCAUUUACGUCACGGCUUCAACCACAAAGAAUGCAAUUCACCAUGCAGAUUAUCAUAAACUAAUACUAUCAUACUAUCUCCGCGUUAACUCACAUAAAGUUUUAAAAGAAUUUAUCAAUUUCACUUGAAUUUUAAAUACGCUUGAUUUAAAAUGUUAUUUUCUCUGAUUACAUUCAAUAAGAGGAAUGUGAAAUACACGGCUUCUAUCUCCCUUUUAAACCACAAUUUCUCUCAUGAUAUUUUAGCACCAUUCGACAACAGUAUCAUAAUGUGUUUGCUAUUUAUUUCUAGUUCUAAAACUUUAAAGAAGGUGUUGAUUAGAUGAAUACGUGUUUAUGUUAUCAUUAGAGCUUUAAUAUUUUAAAUGUGAACUUACAAAACGGACGCGAAGCUCUUAAGACAUGUGCAUUAAAUAAUCAAUUACAAUUCAAUUGAUAGUGUUGCUCGGAUUUAAUGAAGUCCAGUUAUCUAGAAAUAUUUCCAUUUAUUCUUAUUAUCUUUAUAGAAGCAUAAACAAAUGUCUAAUGUUUAGUGUAGAAUGCACCCAUGUAUUAGCAAACAGCAAAUUAUCUUUAUCACGAGACAUGUAUUACAUAAUUUUAAAAUCAUACUCACAUUUCGAUUUUGAUUACAAAUUAUUAAUUUUAUUUCCAAAAGAUAAUUACUAUCAAAACAUAUGACAGAAAAUUAAUAUGAUGCUGAGAGAGGCAAGAUUUUGGCUUAUUUUAUAUUGCUGCUAUAUCGCUUUAGCUAAAGCACUACUCACAUUGCAUGAAUAGAAAUUAGUUUUAACUGCAGAGACUUUUUCAGCAUUAUCUUACAAGACUCUAAAUCUAGAGAAGUUCGGCCAUAUCAAUACUUGCAAUGAGGUUAAAUUCAUUGCAAUUGUAGAAAUUGGUUUAAUCGUACAACAUUUCAUUGACGUUUGGCUGCAUAUUUACAAGGCAACCGAGAAAAUGAAGCAAUAAAUAAGAUAAGUUUAUGAGAGUUAGGAAGAAAAUAACAAGCACCGUGGGUUGAGAGAUGGGACACAAUAGAAGCAGAAUUGAAAAGAGAAAAGAUAAAUGUAAAAUAUUUGACCAUAGAUUGUAUAUAGUUAGAUGAGAUAGAUCCAUCUGAGAUAGUAUGAGGAAUGGACAGAAAGAAACAUAAAGACAGGAUAAAUAAUGAGAAAUGUUUUAUUUUUUUUUUAUUUAAAUAUAUAGCUAGAUUGUGUACAUUGUGAACGGAGAAGCAAAUGCCUCUUUCUGUGCAUUCAGUGACCAUGUCAGGGAAAGCUUGACAAAUAAGCUCGUAAAAUUCACUGACGUCAAGAGAGAAUGAUACGAGGUUUUAUAACGAAAUAAGUAAAGCAUAGACAUAACUUACAAAAUAUACAAGUAAGUAAUAUAUUGAGAAAUAAAGGAAAGUUUGACUCGUGAAAAGGUCUCUAACGCAUCGUGGAUUGUACUUAAACCAAACCAAGUACCUGUGACAGAUUAUGGUAUUUAUUUUUUUUUUUUCAUUCGACAUUAGAAAUUUAAAUUUCAGGUGGCUUUUAUUCAGCUAUCAAAGUUCUAAAUAUAUAAUAUUCUAUAUACAAAAAAAUACACUUUUCAUCAAAUUUUGUCAUUCAGAAAUGAUCAUUAUUUUUAAACAUGUAGAACAUGCAAUUAGUUUCUGUGAACUUUACGAAUAGCAGAUCUCUUUAUAAAGAUCAAUAGUAAUAGUUUCAUUUUUGAUGACAUUUAGGAGCUUCAUCUUUUUUUCGGGAAAUCUCUGAUGAAGCAGGUAUUCUAUAACAUUAAUAUGAAAAUUAGCCAAAAUUACGUCACGACAUUAUCAUUUGUUCUCGUAGGAAACUAAAUGUCCUUAGAGGAAUUGUAUUUAACAGGAAAUCAAUCGUUUGUAUUGUGUUAAUGAUACAUGUUUUAUUGAUCCAAGUGAUGUGAUUAGAAAAGAAUCACUUUUGUGAAUGUACAAUUUAAAAAUGAAUUGUCUGUAGCUCUAUCAUUAUUUCUGUAAAUGUUCUUCCAUAAUUUCAUGAUGAAAUAUUUCUUAUAUUUAUCUAAAUUUGUACGAAGUUGCUACAGAAAAAGACAUAUUUAAUUCAUUAUUAUACCAUCUGAUAGUCCUAUAAGGAUUGAAACACAAACUCAAAACUUAUUCUUUUUAUCCAGGGUGACAUAACUACCUAUGUGUAUGUCAAGUAACUUAGUAAGGGUAUUGGACAAUGUUUUACGUUGCAUCACUCAGUUAAAGUGGUAAUAAUGACUUUAAACCUAGGCGCAUAACUGAAUGGUUCGUGGCUUAUAUUGAUCCACACUGUAGCAUAUUUCAUUAAAUAUAAAUAACAAAAUAUAAAGAAGACCGCAGGGAACCGAAUACAACUUCACAAUUCAUUUGUUGUUUUAAAGUUGUACUUUAUACUUGCAAUAUAAUGAUAAAAGCAGUUUCAUAUAUUAGUGUGGUUAUAUCAUUUUGGAAUAUACAAUUUAUAUACAUAACUACAUAUAGCUAUAUCCUUUUAGCAGCUUAUUGUUUCAGUAUAAAAUCUAUGUACGGUUCGAUACAUACAUACAUGCAUAAAUACAUACAUAUACACACAAAGAAGUUUUCUUUCCACCCACAUGGUUGGGUGUUCAGUUCCUUUGAGUGACACAUUUGAAGCCUUGUGGGUGGAUUUUCAAACGGAAGAAAACCGUCUGUUGUGUACGUGUGUGUCUGUGUGUUGGUGUGUGUCUGUGUAUUGGUGUGUGUCUGUGUCUAUAUCUGUGUGCAUGUGCGUUUGACAACCGGCGAUCGUGUGUUUACGUAUCCGUAACUCAACAAGCUGGCAAAAGAAACCGAUAGAAGAAAUAGCAGGAUUUAAAGAGCUGGAAUCGUUUUGUUACACUAAACCCCUACCAAGGAGGUGCACCAGUAGGCUGCUGUCCAAUGACUGAAACAAAAUUAAAGACAGAAAUAGUAAACAAAAUGAUGUAUAACAUCGCGCACAACCAAACCCCCACACACGCGCGAGCACACACACCACUUCCACAUUCAUCCACAUACACAUAUACCCACAUAUUUAUCAGUCAUUUACUACAAUACAAGUAAUCAUCUAAUACGAUGGCAUCUUUAUAUCAUAACAUAUAUGUUAACGAUUCUUUAAUAGAUAUACUAAGAAAAUCUUUUCAUAUAUCAUAAACAUAUUUGUAAUUUUGAGACAAGCAUUCAUUGUUAAUGUGUAUCAACUCCUCUGUGAAUAAACUGUAUACCGAAUUUGCAUUAACUAAAAUUAUUGUUGUUCAAAAUGUGGCUGCGGUAACAUGCUGAAUCUUUACAUAAGCGAUUUUGUAUCAUUCUGGUAAUACUAAUUACUGAUAGUUUAAGGGAAUCGUGCGUUAUCUGCUAUAUUGUAUUUAAUUCAUUAGCUAUUCGAAGCCGUUAUAUAAAUUUAUCACCCAUAUACAGUUAAUUCAUUAACAAUGCACACAUUUAUAUUCAUUUCGUACUGCAAUGUCAAUUAUUAAAACCAUAAUUCAUACAUCGAUUGCGAAUUCUGUAAUGUGAGGCAUAUUAUCUGUGGUCUUGCGGGCGGUCUAUAUGAUAACGACCAUAUGAUAUAUGCAACGCCAUUUUUACAAGUCAAGUAAAUUUUAUAAUGAUAACGAACUAUUUUAUUUAUGAAGGAUUUAUUACUUACAUUAUACACUUUAUAUUAUUGAAGUUUAACCCUGAAGUAUAUUUCGAUUUUAGAUUUGAUACUUUUCAUACGUAAAUUGUUUCUGUAUAUAUUCAUAUCCUCCAGUUUUCUGAUGUUGCCCUAGUAAUUAUUACACACCUUUCAGUAAUGUUUCAUUAGGCAAUUGAAUGCGUGCACCGGCAAGUAUUCCUUUUACAUUUUGAUAAAAGAAAUAUUUAGUUAUCAUGUGCAGUGCGGGAAAUAGGACUGAGCGAAAAUGUUGAAUAUCGAAAGACGUAUGGAACAGAUCAGCGUGAACUUCUCUCCAAUCUUCUGAGAUUCCCUCCCGUACCAUUGCACGUUGUUUACCCCUGACUAAGCAUCCCUCGUUUUUAGCCUCGAGGUGAUGGUUAAACGCCAUUCUCGCAGUUAAAACCGGGGUGCGGAGCUAGAUUCCAGUCGAGGGCCCUAACUGAAGCCCUUUCUACUCUAGUUUUCUUAGUCAUUAACUCUUUGUUAUACCAAAUAGAUUCAAAUAUUAUGGCUGUUUGGAGGGCAUAUCACUAUUUGUUGCUAAUAAUGACACCACGCAAUGCCCUCAUCACUAUCUGUCUAAUCCGACUCCUGUACUCCACAUGAGCCAAAGGUAAUUCAUUGAGUUUCUAGUGGGUGUAUCCCUGUCUAUGUAACUUAUCUAAGUCCAGCCUACAGGUCACAACUUUGUGAUCAUUGUAGCUGACAGUGAAAUUGCGGACGACUAACUAGGCUUUUGUCUAUUUCUCUAAUUAGUAUCCUGUCUAAAUAAGAUAUAGAUCACCCAUCUGUAUUAGUUCAUAUCCACAAUGGAGCGUCUGGGACAUCUAGUCUGUACCUAUUUGCCAGCUGAAAUCGACUGAGGAGAUUAUUGAAGCACGGGCUUCCUCUUCUAUCAGUAGACAAGCCAACGUAAUCUACCUGUGCAUCGCAUAUUUUGUUAAAGUCACAUAUAAAUACUAUGCUGUGAGACAUUCCUAGAAACUUCUCCAGGCUUCAAAAAAAAUCUACCUGUCUAGUUCCCGGGGCACCGUAAAGAGCUACCAGCUACAAAACCUUAUUGCUGCUUAGUUUCACGUGAAGGACCAACCUACCUUCCGGGACGAUGAAGAUUGUUCUUGUUUCUAAGACUAGAUUUAUUUUACUGAGCAGCACGGCUACACCUUUCACUCCUCCAGGUAGGCAUGAAGAAAUAAAUUUCUCGUAGCCAUUUAGGAGGGGGGAAGCCCCGUUGAGUAAUCUGUUUAUAUCCAUCCUAUGCGACCUUAAAUCAUUCAGGAAAGUACCUUCUUUGCAUUGUACCCCCACGCUGCGUAUAUUUAUACAACCAGCAUGAAGUGUAUCCGUAACGUUGUACUUACCGGUUAGAUAUGGGUUGCCCUAUCAUCUCAUUCUUUUGGUUUUUCGUACGGGGCUUGCGAGGAGUCGUUGACUAGGCCCUCAAACAUUAGUUGGGAAAAGUCUUUCAUCAGCGGGCCUGUCAUUUUUCAAAACGGUUUGUUAACAUAUUAUAGUGCGUAAUUGGUACUUAAUUUACCGACCCCGAAAGGAUGAAAGGCAAAGUCAACCUCGGCGGAAUUUGAUCUCUGAAUGUAAUGGCAGACGAAAUACCUAUUUCUUUACUACCCACAAGGGAACGAACAAAGUCAGAAAAACGGAUUAGGUCGAUUAUAUCGACCCCAGUGCAUAACUGGUACUUAUUUAAUCGACCCUAAUUGAUGAAAGGCAAAGUCGACCUCAGCGGAAUUUGAACGCAGAACGUUGUGGCAGAUGAAAUACUGCUAAGCAUUUCGCCCGGCGUGCUAACUUUUCUGCCAGCUCGCCGCCUUUCAAUGUCAAUUUAUUGACACAUUUGGGUAAGUCUAAUUCUGUAUUAUCAGACAACUGCAAAACAAAUAUUUAAAAAACAAAAUUCAAAACUCUGCAAAAAUCCGAUACAAAUCCUUCAUGGUUCAAAACGUUCCUUACUUUUGACUAAAUCUGAUAUUUACAGUUAGAUUAAUUUUAUCACAGUGAAUUCAUUGAUACAUGUAGUUCAAUUUAGAAAUAUGUUGUAAGUGAAGAAAAUUAAUAACGCACCAUUUAUUUUUCGCUUGAAUUUCCUUGAUUUCCUACGUGAAAUUUCCUUGCUUUCUGAAGAUCUAGAAUACUAACAUCACAUUCUGGGGAACAUCUGAGAACAGUAUGAAGACUGACACUUCUAAUUUAACUGUCUUUUACAGAAUAUUAUGUGAUGCUUUCUUUAAAGUGGACUUAUAAUGGUCGUGUCAUUUCCUCUUAUUAUGUGUUCGAGAAAUUAUGGCCACUAGUUGAUACAAAGUGUAAGAUGUUUAAAGGUGUAAAACAUGCUGGCAUUCAGCAGAAAAGCGUGCCACAGGAGGCCCAAAAUGAAGGCUGGUCUAUUGUUGGUGGUGAGUGGCUAUGUGAAGAAAGAAAUCUUGUCUUCGGUACUGUGGCGUAUGAGUUUUAUUUACAGUGGGGAAACUGGUUCGCCGCCACUUUCUUUACGGAGACCUCUUAAAAUCGAUAACAGACGAAAACAUGUUUAACUUAGAAUUGUGACGCUGUUGCAGAGUGACACGAACAAGAUAACAUCAUUGUCAAUUUGCAGCUUGUGUCUGUUGCAGCAACAAUUUUCAUUUCAUGGGGUACAACUCGGUACGAAAGGACAUAAUAAAAACACAAUGGCGCAUUUUUUUAAAAAUGUUCAUGACAACUCGCUACUAGUUACUUUUCAAGUUGUCUUUGAACUGUUUACUUGGAAAGAAGAAAUGCAGAAAUUGAUAUAAACAGUUGAAAUCAUACUAAUCCAUGCAAGAUUUCAAAGCUCCUUCAUUAUCAGCCUCUGAACUUUUCAGCCUGCUCCCUCAUAUAGUUAUAUUUAGAUUAAAGAAGAUCAUUAUAUCUUGAAUUUUUUAAAACCUCUUAACGACCAAAGUUUUUUAUCCAGAAUAUUAUCAUAGACUCCAUUGGUUUUCUAUAUUAUAGUGCUAUAAGGAAUCUGCAUUGUUAAGGUCAUAUUUUUUUCUUUUAUAUAGGAACACAUUCUACAAUUAUUUUUACCUUAUGCUGUAUAUCAUAUAAUAGUAACCAUGUACUUAUUUCAAAUAUUCAUUCUUUAGAAAUAGUUCAUAUAUUUAUGUGUUAAAAGGACAUUAACACUGUUGCUUUUUAUUGGAAACGCAUAUAAUAGAACAUGAUCCAAUUUAUGUUGCUGUCAUUAUUUAAUAUUCAACCAUAUAUUCAACGUACUUGAUCUGCUCCCCUUCUUCAUACAGAGAAAGGGACCUUUCCAUAGCUAGUUCCAAAUUACGAAUAAAUUUAUAUGUAGCGGUAAUAGAAAUUAUCAAAUAUUUCAUCAGAUGUUUUAAACGGAAAAAGCAAACAAAACAACAAUCAAUACAUUUUGACGUUUUCUGAUUUAAUUACUAAGCGUGAUAUUGAUAGCUGAAAAUUUGAAAUAAUACUCCUCCAAUUUCAUGAACGUAUUGUAGGGUUCGACAGAUUCUGUUCAUUUUUUUUUGCACCGCUUAUCAAUCAGUUUUAUAUUAUUAGAGAAAGCCAUGUCAUUUUCCCCUCACUAUAUCACAUAGUAUCAAGUGAAAUUAGUAAAUGUCUGAAACGUUCUUCAUAUAAUAUGACCCCGCACAUGAAGAUUAAUAUCACGAAUAUGUGUGCGUGUGAGUAUGUCUUUGUGCCUUUGUAAACAAACAAAUAUGAAUACAUAUAUAUAUAUAUAUAUAUAUAUAUAUAUAUAUAUAUGUAUAUAUAUAUAUAUAUAUAUAUAUAUAUAUAUAUAUAUAUAUAUAUAUAGUUGAACAUUCUUUGACUGUCACAUAUUGUCACUCAGAUUACAAUUUCCCCGCUGAAGUUGACAAUUUCGCCCUCAUGAAACCAAAAGUAUAUACAGCCGCAUUCAUAUAUACACAACUAAAACAUCACGCGCAUCCCGUUCCACACAUAGUCGAUCGAAAAUAACUACACAUAUGAAAAGGGGUAUACAUAUAUAACGAAUUUAUGCAAGUAAAUCCAUUCACACACACACAGACAUAUUUAUAUACGCAUGUAUACGUGGGUGGGCGUGUUUUUCGGUAUAAAAACCUAUAUAUAUAUAUAUAUCUGUGUGUUUGUGUGUAUGUAUAUUUUAUUGAAAAGCAGCAGAAAUAUUACACAAGCUGUUACUCAGAGUUUCACGUUCCCAUUCGUCGGAAAGUUUUGUUAAAAUAGAACAGAAAAUCUCUAGGUGUGUACAUAUAGAAGUUAUAACAGACAAGCCUGAUGCGAAGCAUAUUUUAAACGAAGGGAAGGGGAAUAAAAGGAAAGGAAGGAUCUUAAACGUAACAGGUAGCGAGGGAAAGAGGUAAGGUGGAGAGAAGAGAAACGCAUUGUUAAAGGAUACUCCUCGUAAGGAAAGAAAAAGAAAGAUAGGUGGCAUAGUAUGCGUAACAAACGUACACAAAAUAAUACUACGUAUAUAUGUGUAUACAAAAGUGUAUAUUAUCAUAAAUAUACAUAUAAGAUCACAAAUAUGAAUAUAUGGAAAUAUGCACGUAAAUACACAUCCACACAAAUAUAAGUGUAUACAUGCAUACAUAUACAUUCAUGCAUGUAUGUGCACAAGUAUAAACAUACACGCUAACUCACACAUAUACAUAGACGCACACAUACGAAUACAUAUGCAAGCCAAAAAUACAGGUAUCUACAUGAAAACAUAUCUAGGGCAUGCCGUAUAAAUACAAACAACAUUUGAAAAAAUAUUGCUGAGUGUAUAAUAUUAAAAUUCGGAUAAAAGACAUGCAAAAUAAAACCCCCUAUAUCGAAUUAUCUAUAAGUUAAACGAUUAAUUGGGUUUAUAAAAUACAAUAAUAUAAAAUAAAAUAAAAAUAGGAUAUUAAACAUGAAAAUAAUAUAUGUAUUUAACAGUCGAGGGUUUUCUUAAGAAAUAUGCCGAAAUAUAUACCGUAUAUUUCCGAUGCGAAAAAAAUCAUGUUUUAUACGAUAAAAAUCCAACAGUCUGAUUGAAAACUAGUUAAAGUAUCAAAUAAUUAUACUCUCCAUAUGGUAUAUUUUUAGUCGACAUUUCAAAUUUUGUUGCGUGUCUGGCGGAAUUCAAGUGUUCGCGUGUUUGAUUCAAAGCGCUUUUCUCCUAGAAUAAAAUAUACAAAUUUUCCACAGACAUAAAUGACAUUUCAUGGGUCUUUUAUGCGCGCCGUGUCUGUAAGGUGAAGCUCUAUCUAAAAUUCUCCGUGUCAUAUUGAAACAUAGAGUUCCGUACUCUUUUAAUUCGCUGACAUAUGUUGCCAAGCUGAUCUUUUCGGAGUAUGGGAAGACAUUUCUAUAAGAAUAAAAUUGGAUUUUGAAAGAAUUUUCAGAAGCCCCUCUAUAAGUAUUAUAUUCGUGUGAGCCUUCUAUCUGCACUUUGGAUCUAUACACGAUUCCUUUCUCCAGGCAUUUUCCUUCCAACCGACAGGAGGUCCCAUCUUUGGAAUUGCAAUUUUUAGGAAAAGAAUCAGCACUAUGUUUAUUUGAAAUUAUCUUAUUGUUGUGUUGGUUAAUAAGAGAGGCGAAGUUUUUUUUUUGUUGCAAGAAUAACUGAUCUUAAGCGUUCUUCUAUUAAAUAGUCUAUAACAAUUAUGGGCAGGCUGAAAAUGUCUAGAGAAUAAUUUUUAGAAUUCCCUACCUAUAUUUCUUUGUACAGCCAUAUUGAAAGCUGGGUUAAACCACAAAACCUUCCUACACCUAGUUUACGUGUUGCGGGGACUGUAAGGCAAUUGGAAAUAACGGAAAUGGCUGUGAAGUUGGGGGCAGUGGAGAACAGCCGAAAUUUAUCCAGGAGAGGGGGUGCAAAGUUAAAACUGACGCGACCAACGGAGGUGACAACAAAAAAGGAACUGACGACAGUGGUGUACAGAACCCUUUCAACCCUAACUAGGAAAAUAGAAAUGGCAAGAGAAGUUGAAGAAUGCCUGAAUAAGGUGAGCGAUAAAUUUUUUCUCUGGAAGCAGGACAUUUGGAACGGUGAAGGUGCGCCUCUCGACAGUGAAGUAAACAAUAAUGCACUCCACUGAAGCCUUGAAGUAGGAGUACUGGCCACAACUGCCAGAUUAUCUUGGAACGAGAGUAACCAGAAUAAGAAUUAUCAGGGUGUCCCCGGAAAUCAAAGAGAUGUGGUUGUUGGAGCCAUUAUGAUGGACAUGGAGGACGGCCCGCAGGUUCUACAAGUGAACCGCACAGAACAAUUAAAUCGAUGAGGUUAUGGACGCGAGGUCAAUAUCCACGCACCCUCAGUGACCUCUAAAUUAUAGCAGAGGAGGUUGAGCUCCCGGAGGAUGUGAGACUUCGGGUAGCAGUGGAGGGAAGAUCCCCACAUGUUACCACUGCGUGGAGAUGGGGCACAUUAAGGUGAGCUCUCCCUUUCACCAAAAACAAACACCACCGGAAGUGAGAAAGGAAGAAACUAGUAGCACUGGAAAAUACGAAAACUUAAAGAAGCAGCACAUAUGCUAGGACACAGUGACCUCCUAAGCAGACGGAGUGCAGAUAGGCGCAGCAUAUGGGGAACGGUGUUAAUGAAGGAUAGAAAAAUAUUAGAUUUAUAAGCCCUAAAAUUCACUCCAUAAUUGCCCAAGGGCACAUUGCGUAGUGGUUAAGUACGCGGACUACUAACCCCAAGAUUCCAAGCAGUGACCUGAACACGAACAAUAAUAUUAUUAUUAUUAUUAUUAUUAUUAUUCAUAAUGAUGAUAAUAAUAACAAUGAUAAUAAUAAUAAUAAUAAUAAUAAUAAUAAUAAUAAUAAUAAUAAUAAUAAUAAUAAUAAUAAUGAUAAUAGAGAACCCAGGUUCGAAAUUUCCCCAAGAUACCUGAAGAAGGCUGGAGGGUGUAUCAGCCGAAACAUUAUGUUAACAACAAACAAGACGAGGACAAAUAUCCGUCGAAUGUAAAUGAUAAGAAUAAUUAUAAAAAUAAUAAAAGCAAAAUGAGCAGCUGCCAAAUUUUACCAUAUACCUUACUUGACGACCUAAUACAUAUAAUGCACACACAUCUAUCUAUCUAUACAUAUAUAUAUAUAUAUAUAUAUAUAUAUAUAUAUAUAUAUAUAUAUAUAUAUAUAUAUAUACAUGCUCGUGUGGUAAGUGGCUUGCUUCCAAACAACAUGGUUUAGUCCCAUUACGUGGCACCUUGGACAAGUGUGUUCUACUAUAGUCCGUAGUCGAACACUUGUGUGUCUAUUUAGUAGACGGAAUAUGCAAGAAGCCCGUCGUAUAUACGUGUGUGUGUGUGUGUGUGUGUUUCUGUGAUAUUUUUCUGCAGAAAGCCUCGUACAUCUGGGCGAUGAUUUUCAUAUUUCAUUGGGAAUUACGCCUGAUAGUAAUCUGUUUUUAGCUACUACGUAAAACACAAUUUUCCAUUUGUUUUGUUUCUGUAUUCUUUUAUUCAACUAGUAUUUGAAUUUCUGCUAUAUCUCAUUUUCGAAAUAAUCUAUUUGAUAUCGCCUUAUAACUCUAUAUUUCUUUGCGUUUAUUGCCAAGAAAAUACAAGAAAUGUAACGCUGCUUUACUCACGUAAUAAAUUUGGCCGAAUAUUGAUGCCCUUCAAGGCGCCAAUACUUCUCUUUCCAUUAAAUCAUAUUGUCUGCGAAAUACUGUAGUAUAAGUUUUCUCGGUUUUAGCUUUGUAUAUUUCAUCGCAUCAAGAAUGUAAUUAUAUUUUUGAUAUACGUACACCAUCGCCUUAAAUAUGUGCCUGUUUUUUUUUUUUCAUAUACUUUUUGAAGUGUUCGCUAGUUUUAGUGUUAGUGUAAUUACUUGUACAUUUAUCUAUUUCGCUGCUCUUCAUUUUGUGCCUAUAUUUUCGUGUGUAUUUUUUAUGACCAGUAUAAUUGAAUAUCACCAUAUACACACAGACAUACAUCAUACAUACAAGCAUUAAUACAUGCGUAAGAUCGUAGAUGUGUGUGGGUGUGUGUUUGUGUGUGUCUGUGUGUCCUCACUGAAAAUGUUUCAAUGGUAUCUUCGCAUAUGUAAUGGUGGCUUUCGUCUGUCCCAACACGUGUCAGAUGUACUUUAAACUGAUUAAACAUUUAAUGUAUUAGCAGUAGAAACACAAUAGGGAGUAUAUAUAGUUAAAUAAAUUAUGAAAUAUAUCUUGGUUGCCCAAAAAACGGCAGCGUACCAUUCACUAAUAUAUCAUGUUAAAGGAUCUCAAAGCUAUUAUACAAACGAAGUCUACCUGAGGAGAGAAUUCACACUACCACAAAAUUUAAACUGCUUAUUUCAGUCAUAUCAACAAGUAAGCGAGAUGUCGUGCAACUCCAAUAUACACAGUGUAGCAUUUAAGGGAAUCAAUUAGCAUUUAAAUCCUACAUAGGUCGUAAAAUUCCGUGCGCUUCCAUCUACACUACGGUUGGCAAAUAACAUACUUGGCUAGUAAACACAUCAACAUAUUUCAUUGUUUUCUAAGCAGAAUCAUAGUCCUGGUUCGUUUUGCUAGGGAUAUCAGCUUUGUUGCAGGCUUUCUCAACGUUAAUACCAAUUUUCAAA